GACGAACGCUGGCGGCGUGCUUAACACAUGCAAGUCGAACGGAAAGGCCCUGCUUUUGUGGGUUGCUCGUUUGGCGAACGGGUGAGUAACACGUGAGUAACCUGCCCUUGACUUUGGGAUAACUUCAGGAGACUGGGGCUAAUACCGGAUAGGAUCUCUUGCUGCACGGUGGGGGUUGGAAAGUUACGGCGGUUGGGGCUGGUCUCGCGGCUUAUCCGCUUGUUGGUGGGGUAGUGGCUUACCAAGGCUUUGACGGAUAGCCGGCAUGAGAGGGUAGCCGGCCACCUUGGGACUGCGGUACGGACCAGACUCCAACGGGACGCAGCAGUGGGGAAUAUUGCGCAAUGGGCGGAAGCCUGAUGCAGCAACGCCGCGUGCGGGAUAACGGCCUUCGAGUUGUAAACCGCUUUCGCCUGUGACGAAGCGUGAGUGACGGUAAUGGGUAAAAAAGCACCGGCUAACUACGUG
rnacentral:rRNA from 1 species